rnacentral:tRNA from 1 species
GCUGCCGUAGCUCAGUAGGCAGAGCAUCUCCAUGGUAAGGAGAAGGUCGCCGGUUCGAUUCCGGCCGGCAGCUCCA